CUGCUGCUAUUGCAUCCAGAGCCCUGGGCCAUUUAAAUUGGGAUUUAAAGGUCCCAGGGAUUUAAUGGCCUGGCCUCUUUGGGCUGAAGCUCCCCCGCCCCAUGCUGAGGACCCCGGCCCUGUGUACUGACUGUAGCACUCCAGCCAGUCCCAAAGUCCCCAGCUAGUCCAGAGAAUCUGCCAAUGGAGGAGUUGUGUCAUUUUUCUGAGUACCAGAGAACUACAAUCACUGAAAAUAUAACACUUCGGAUACCCCGGGAUCUUUGAAUCCUUGUCUGUAGCUGGACAUCCUUCAAAAAUGUUUGGUCAGUGACUCGGGGAUUUCCACUGAAACAGUUACCAUGAAUCACUUAGCUCCUGACUUGUGCAAUGAGAGAAAGUAGAAAUAAAAAUGACCUUUUAUGUUGUCUAGUCCAGUCUGUUCCUUUAGCAAUGCAGGCUUGUUCCCUAUAGCACCAUUUCCAGUGCUUUGUUCAAUACAGUUUUGAAUUAUUUAAGGUAGUAUUUCCCAAAUAUUUGAAAGCUUCAAGAAAAUGAAACCAAUCACAUACCUCCUGCAGUCCUGCCAUAAGUUCUUAACAGCCUACAACUUUUAAUUUAUACAUCUUCUGUGCUCCGUGCUUUUGCAAAUACUGUAUAGAUCUUGAUAAUAUGACACUUCAUUAUCACACUAUCACUAACAGGCCCUAACUAAGCUGAAGGGUCCCACAAACACAUGGGAUGGCUGUGUUUUAGAAGUCUGUAACAUAUACCCGUUAAAUAUACUGUGUGAUUUGUUAUCAGGGUAAAGCAUUAAUUAAUAAAGUUACAAGUAACCACGAAUGUUUCCCUAGGGCUUGCUAUAAAAGGAAGCAAUCGUGAAGAAGGCUACCAGGGGAGUUAUGGAAAAAACAUAUUUAAGGAAAAGUUAUGACAGGAAAAGUUAAAGGGCAGUGAGGACUGAGUGAUAUGAACCCAUUCACACUCCCUCUAUUUAUACCUUGGUUUCCUUGGU